GAUGAACGCUGGCGUCGUGCCUAAUACAUGCAAGUCGAGCGAACAGACGAGGAGCUUGCUCCUCUGACGUUAGCGGCGGACGGGUGAGUAACACGUGGAUAACCUACCUAUAAGACUGGGAUAACUUCGGGAAACCGGAGCUAAUACCGGAUAAUAUAUUGAACCGCAUGGUUCAAUAGUGAAAGACGGUUUUGCUGUCACUUAUAGAUGGAUCCGCGCCGCAUUAGCUAGUUGGUAAGGUAACGGCUUACCAAGGCAACGAUGCGUAGCCGACCUGAGAGGGUGAUCGGCCACACUGGAACUGAGACACGGUCCAGACUCCUACGGGAGGCAGCAGUAGGGAAUCUUCCGCAAUGGGCGAAAGCCUGACGGAGCAACGCCGCGUGAGUGAUGAAGGUCUUCGGAUCGUAAAACUCUGUUAUUAGGGAAGAACAAAUGUGUAAGUAGCUAUGCACGUCUUGACGGUACCUAAUCAGAAAGCCACGGCUAACUACGUG
rnacentral:rRNA from 1 species